rnacentral:lncRNA from 1 species
ACGGACCUACAAUAAAAAUAACCUUUGGAAUACAUAAAUACAUGUGAAACUAAACAAUUUUUUUAAAAGAUCUUUAUUAUAGCAAAGAAGAGAAGAAAGUUCGCCGGAGAUGACGACUUCUGGCCAAGCAAAACACAGUACAAAUUGUAUUAAAACUAAAAAAUAGAGACGAAUAAAAAUACGAUCAAAUAUGAGAAAAUACUAUCACAUUGUAUCUACAAAAAUCCGGUCAGACAAAUAAAAAUCUGGCAGUAAUAUGUAUUUUUGCAUUUAAUUUGGCCACAAAAAAUAAAAUAUACUCAAAUAUGAGAAAUACACUGAGAUAUGAAAAAAUACACUCGGAUCUCAAAAAUUUGAUCGGUUGGCCAUGGAUUCCAGCUAAAGAUGAAGGCGGCGGUGGAGGUAAUGAAGGUAAUGAUGAGGCCGAUAUGGAUUAAGGAAUUUGAGGUACUAAGUUUAGGAAUUGUCAUAGUGGGUGAAAGAAGGGAGAGUACAAAGAAGAGAAAAAAAAUUAAAUGAGGUUAGACGACAGUGUUCCUGCGGGUUAGGUCGACGGUGGUUCUUCAGUGAGAUUGUAACACUAGAGAAAUAGAGAGCUUUAGGGAUAUGGGGAUGCAAAUAGGUUAUGGUAGGAAAAUGAAAGCAGGAAGGGAGGAAAAAGUU